rnacentral:rRNA from 1 species
GCAGUCGAGCGGCAGCGGGAGUAGUUUACUACUUUGCCGGCGAGCGGCGGACGGGUGAGUAAUGUCUGGGAAACUGCCUGAUGGAGGGGGAUAACUACUGGAAACGGUAGCUAAUACCGCAUGACCUCGUAAGAGCAAAGUGGGGGACCUUCGGGCCUCACGCCAUCGGAUGUGCCCAGAUGGGAUUAGCUAGUAGGUGGGGUAAUGGCUCACCUAGGCGACGAUCCCUAGCUGGUCUGAGAGGAUGACCAGCCACACUGGAACUGAGACACGGUCCAGACUCCUACGGGAGGCAGCAGUGGGGAAUAUUGCACAAUGGGCGCAAGCCUGAUGCAGCCAUGCCGCGUGUGUGAAGAAGGCCUUCGGGUUGUAAAGCACUUUCAGCGAGGAGGAAGGCAGUCGUGUUAAUAGCACGAUUGAUUGACGUUACUCGCAGAAGAAGCACCGGCUAACUCCGUGCCAGCAGCCGCGGUAAUACGGAGGGUGCAAGCGUUAAUCGGAAUUACUGGGCGUAAAGCGCACGCAGGCGGUUUGUUAAGUCAGAUGUGAAAUCCCCGCGCUUAACGUGGGAACUGCAUUUGAAACUGGCAAGCUAGAGUCUUGUAGAGGGGGGUAGAAUUCCAGGUGUAGCGGUGAAAUGCGUAGAGAUCUGGAGGAAUACCGGUGGCGAAGGCGGCCCCCUGGACAAAGACUGACGCUCAGGUGCGAAAGCGUGGGGAGCAAACAAGAUUAGAUACCCUGGUAGUCCA